rnacentral:rRNA from 1 species
AGGAUGAACGCUAGCGGCAGGCCUAACACAUGCAAGUCGAGGGGUAACGGGGAGCUUGCUCCGCCGACGACCGGCGCACGGGUGCGCACCGCGUAUGGAACCUGCCCCUUGCAGGGGAAUAGCCCAGGGAAACUUGGAUUAAUGCCCCGUGGUACCGUCAUAUGGCAUCAUAUUACGUUAAAGCUUCGGCCGGCAAGGGAUGGCCAUGCGUCCCAUUAGCUAGUUGGCGGGGCAACGGCCACCAAGGCUACGAU